rnacentral:rRNA from 1 species
UACGAAGGGUGCAAACGUUGCUCGGAAUCAUUGGGCGUAAAGCGCACGUAGGCGGCUUCGCAAGUCGGAUGUGAAAUCCCUCGGCUCAACCGAGGACGUGCAUACGAAACUGCGGAGCUUGAGUGCUGAAGAGGAUCGCGGAAUUCCCGGUGUAGAGGUGAAAUUCGUAGAUAUCGGGAGGAACACCAGUGGCGAAGGCGGCGAUCUGGGCAGACACUGACGCUGAGGUGCGAAAGCGUGGGGAGCAAACGGG